rnacentral:rRNA from 1 species
UACGUAGGGCGCAAGCGUUAUCCGGAAUUAUUGGGCGUAAAGAGCUCGUAGGCGGUUUGUCGCGUCUGCCGUGAAAGUCCGGGGCUCAACUCCGGAUCUGCGGUGGGUACGGGCAGACUAGAGUGAUGUAGGGGAGAGUGGAAUUCCCGGUGUAGCGGUGAAAUGCGCAGAUAUCGGGAAGAACACCCGUGGCGAAGGCGGCUCUCUGGGCCGAUACUGACGCUGAGGAGCGAAAGCGUGGGGAGCGAACAGG